AAGUCAGGCUUUUAUUUUUUACCGAUGUGCAAUUCAGAAUAAUUUCAUAAGAUUUAUCUAUCAAAACCAAUACUUAAAUCAAUGAGUAGUAAAACAUAUGACGUAAAUACAACUGUAUCACAGAUUUUACGUCUUUUUGGGGGUGACAGUAGCUCCGCUGACGAGGAUCACUGACUCUCCCAUUGCUCCCUUGAUGGCUGAGCGGUAUGCUAAUGCCGUGGCCCAUUAACAAAACCCAAAGGUUGUGAUUCGCAGAAGUACGUGCGGCUGGCGGAUAAAGGAGGUCGUGGUGGGACUCUGACCAUGAAAUAAGUAGCUAAUUCACUUAUAGCUCAGCAGCAUAUCAACAUAUUUUCGCACCGCAAAUGUAACCUUCAGGCGUUUGCUGUUUGUGGGCGGAUCC